AUGGUCUUAUGUUCUGAAACGAAGCAUCACAAGGCCUCGGUUGGGCAACAGCAAGGAGGCGAUGGAGCGGGCGCUCUCAAGGGAGAGCAGCAGAGGGCAGCAGCAGCAGUGAGGCAAUGGUGGUGGUCGAACGAGGCAAGGCAGCUCGGCCGCGUGCGGGAAGAGGUCAUGGAAAACAUGGCGAGGCCGAAGAUGGGUCUCGGGCAGGGGCUGUCCACGGUUGGAGCAGAGGAGGUCGACGGGUGGCGGCGCUGGGUGCUUGUAUGCAGGGAGGCGGCGGAUGCAGGAAGCUCGCCGUGA
rnacentral:rRNA from 1 species